GACGAACGCUGGCGGCGUGCUUAACACAUGCAAGUCGAACGAGUGGCGAACGGGUGAGUAACACGUGGGUGACCUGGCCUGCACUCCACGAUAAGCCUGGGAAACUGGGUCUAAUACCGGAUAGUGUGGGAUGUGCCCGCGGCCUAUCAGUUUGUUGGUGGGGUAAUGGCUACCAAGUGGCGUUGGGUAGCCGGUCUGAGAGGAUGAUCCGCCACACUGGUACUGAGACACGGCCCAGACUCCUACGGGAGGCAGCAGUGGGGAAUAUUGCACAAUGGGCGCAAGCCUGAUGCAGCAAUGCCGCGUGUAUGAAGAAGGCCUUAGGGUUGUAAAGUACUUUCAGCGGGGAGGCGUUACCCGCAGAAGAAGCAACGGCUAACUCCGUGCCAGCAGCCGCGGUAAUAC
rnacentral:rRNA from 1 species